AUGCACCUGGUGUCCACCAGCAGGGAGCCCCCCUGCUGCUCCCUGCAAAGCAGCCGGGGCUGGCAGCAUGUGAAGGCUGUGCGGGACUCCCUCACCCUAACCAGAAGAGACCACCGACAUAAGAGUGCUUGUGCAGCUGCCAAGUUUUUGUUUGGGACAAAAGAGGCCUUUUGCCUUGAACCUCCAGCAAGGUCUGGAAGCUCUGCAGCGUUCUCACUCUCCUCUCAUGCACAGGAAACCUAUGAGGGACACACAGACCACACCAUCAAUCAAGGUCACAGCAUUCGCAGGGGAAAAGGACAUGUGAUUUCACUCAGAGCAGCAAAUUUAUACGCUGGAUAAGUUAAGUGAAUGGAUCCCUUCCCAGACUCACUGAUAUUGCCUGAAACUGAUGAAUGCCAAGCUGCAAAACAGGAUAGUAAGGUCAGGAACAUCUGUUCAAAACCAUAGGUGGGGUAGCUAUGGCUUAGCUAUGGUUUGUGGGUUUGGAUGGCAGUAGUUUGGAUAGCAGAGCUGAGGAGGCUGAACAGCUUGCUCUUUGGCUCUGCCAGCAAGAUUUACACCCAGCCGCAUCCACAAAGGGCGCUGCAGUAGUGCUAAGAGCUGGUGUCCCGCAAUUCAAUCCUUUACAGGAUACAACUUCUGCACCACUAAUGGCAAAAAGCCCUUUCUGCAAAGACACUCAGACACUUGUUUUCUUCCAGAAAAUUGCCGCCAAAGUACCACCAAGCAUAAUUAAGUUUACUGAGAGAAAAAACAAUUCAUUUUGCCACACCACAGUGCAGCACCUUCCUCUCUCACUGCACCCAGUGACAACUGCAGACCCGUUGGGCACUGCAGGCCUCAGUUCAUGCAGACCAGCAGGGUCUUGCUGUGUAACCAUUCCCAGGUCCAGCUCCUGCCUGUUCCUGGCUGCCUGCUGAAGGGCCCCAUCCUGCCAGCAGCUGGUCCUCUGCAAGGCUUGAGGCACUGGUGGCACCUCACGGCCCCGCCUGGCACCUGCCAGUGAUGGCCAGGCACUGCCCCAGGAGAUGGCCUGCUCCUGCCCACAGCUGGCCCUGUGCCGGGCACCCAUCCCCA
rnacentral:lncRNA from 1 species